ACUUGAAACUGGGAGUUCGAGACCAGCUUGGGCAACAUAGGGGGAUCCCAUCACUAAACAAUUUUUUUAAAGCCUUCAGUGAACAUUUUUAUGUGCAUUCACUUCAUCUUUGAGUACUUUUAUGACUAUUUUUUAGGAUAAAUUAUUACAAGUAAAAUUAUUGGGUCAUUGGGUCUGUCCUCUUUUUUGUUAAAGCAUUUGAGCCAGAUUGCCCUCUGGAAAGAUCAAUUUUUACUUCUACUAACAGUAUAAAAAAGUCUAUUUCUGGCCAGGUGCGGUGGCUCAUGCCUGUAAUCCCAGCACUUUGGGAGGCCAAGAUGGGUGGAUCACCUGAGGUUCAGAGUUCGAGACCAGCCCGACCAACAUGGUGAAACCCCAUCUCUACUAAAAAUACAAAAAAUUAGCCAGGCGUGGUGGCAGGUGCCUGUAAUCUCAACUACUCAGGAGGCUGGGGCAGGAGAAUCUCUUGAACCUGGGAGGCAGAGGUUGCAGUGAGCCAAGAUUGCACCAUUGCACUCCAGCCUGAGUGACAAGAGUGAAACUCUGUCUCAAAAAAAAAAAAAAAAAAGUCAAUUUCCUAUUUCCUUUGAAACACUGAACAUUAUUCUUCUUUUCAAUUAAUAAUAUUGUGUCAUCUAAUAGGUAAACAUGGUGUUUCCUAUUGUUCUUUAAAAAGUUUUAUUCUUUUCUCAUGUUUUUGAGACUGCCUUUUAUAUCCUUAAUAAUUUAAAACAUUUAGUUUAUAGUUUCAUUCUAAUAACUCUGUUACCUUUAUCAGCUGACUCUUGUUCAUUGUGAUGUAUUUCCUCCUAUUUCCUGUAAUUUGGGGUUCCGAGCUCAUCUUUUUAAAGCUUAGUUGAUGGUAAUUCUUGUGGACUGGGUUGAGUCCCUUCAGAAGGAUUUAUGUUUGCUUCUGCCAAUUGUCCCAAGGUUAUUACCUAUCUGAGACCAUUCUUUAUAUUAAUUUCUUAAUGUUAUGUUUAUGAACCAUGCAAAAGUGCAUCUGUGCUGGUGAUGUGGGGUGUAGCAUUUUGAGAGUCCUUGGAUUUAUAUUAAUCAUCUCUAAAAUGAGGACCUGGCAUCAAGGAUCUCCAAGAUUCCUCCUCUAUGACUCCAGCCUUCUGAGGUCUUAUAUUCACGGAGAAAUGAACACCGAAAAGCGGGAGAAAUAAAACCAUCUUUCUGACUAGUUCCUUGGGAGACUCAAGUUGUGUUUCAUCAGUACUUUCAGUUCCAAAGUGUAUAGGAUCAAGUCAGUUCACCAGAGCAGGGCUUGGACAAGGAGGCCUGGGUGGAGAGUACCGGUUAACUCCAUGGCUGCAAAAACAAUUCUUUCUUCGCAGUAAUACAAUGAGAGCAAAGGGGACAUUUGACCUUUUCAAGAUUUUUAAAAUGCAAAAUACAAGGUAUGCACAUAAUUUUGUUUACUGACUGAUCCUUUAAAAAAUCUGGCAUAUUAGGCCGGGCGUGGUGGCUCAAGCCUGUAAUCCCAGCACUUUGGGAGGCCGAGACGGGCGGAUCACGAAAUCAGGAGAUCGAGACCAUCCUGUCUAACACGGUGAAACCCCGUCUCUACUAAAAAUACAAAGAACUAGCUGGGCGUAGUGGCGGGCGCCUGUAGUCCCAGCUACUCGGGAGGCUGAGGCAGGAGAAUGGCGAGAACCCGGGAGGCGGAGCUUGCAGUGAGCCGAGAUGGCGCCACCGCACUCCAAGCUGGGCGACUGAGCAAGACUCUGUCUCAAAAAAAAAAAAAAAAAACACAAAAAAAUCUGGCAUAUUAAUAACUCCACUUAAAAUACUGAAGAUGGGAGCCAGAAGGAAACUUGUUCUUUCUGUACAAUGACUGAGAAGGGAAUUCUAAUGAAUAUUUUGGCACACAUAUCUCAUUUUCUGGCUGCUUUAGGACCCAAGAGCCAGUAGGUCAUAAUUAAAGCCAAUAAUGGCAACUCCAGACAGCCCAAAUAUUUUCCUGGUGCUGUCAAUUCUCUGCAUUAAAUGUUUUAACAUCAUUUUUGUGGAGUGUAGAACAUACACACAGAGGGGGAAUUAAAUAUUGAUGUGAAAUUUGGAACAUUUGCUGCAAGUUGCCCCAAAAGAUGUUUAUUACAUUCAAAGGAAUUAUACAAUGUUUUUCUUAUUAGAUAAUCUUAAAUGACCCUUUCUGGGCUGAGAG
ensembl:lncRNA